GUCAUAGUUACUGCACCUCCACGAUUCUGUGAGGAUGAAAUGAAGAAAUACAUGGGCAGAGUCUGCACACAGGCAGGUGGAAGCAGAAGCAGCAGCAGAGGAGGCUGUCGAGGGGAGGGAACAAUCUGGAUGUGCAUCUGAGAAAAAAUAGUGAAGUGACAGAGCAGAAAGCAGAACCCAGUCUCUGCUGAGGGGAUGAUCCUCUCAGAGGUCAGAUCUCUCCACCGACGAGCUGGGUGAGCCCAGAUGCCGUCUCCCAAGUGAGCCUUCCGCCAGAAGAAGCUGCCUUCACUGUGCAGUGAAUGACCUUCGCACAUGGAUUCUGAGUCAUUUAAAAAAUUGAAUGCUAUUUUUAAGGAUACGAAGGGCUGGUCCUGAGGGAAAUUAAGUAGGUUCCUCCUUGUGUGUGAGAGGCCUGGAGGAAGCACCCAGACAGCUGUAUAGAAAAGAUCGGAACAACCUGAAAUACUAGUCACUCUAUUGGAUAACCUCCGGUUGACAUUUAGUCUGGCAAGAGGGCAGGGGAGUAUUGAAAGAGUGAGUUG
rnacentral:lncRNA from 12 species